CUUGAUAUACCUGCAAAAAGAACUACUCUUAUAUCUUGAUGAAUGUAAAAGAUAUCAACAAAUUCAAAAAGGAAUUAAUCAUGAAUUAAACUGAAAAAUACAAUAAAAAAAUUACUAACACUAACAAGACUCAACCAAAAGCAAUCAAACUUGACAGAGAUUUUAUGGGAAAAGGCAAAGUGAUAGCAUGACUAAAUUAAAAACGAACUAGAUGAAAGUAGCUAAGCAUGCUAAGAAUAUGGUACAAAGUAUGUGAACUAAAUCCUAGGAAUGAGGAUGAUAAACAAUUAGUAGCAAAAUAAUAGGGUAAAAAAAUAAUGUUAGUAAGCAUCAAAAGAAAGUAAAAGAAAAGAGAAAAUCGUUAGAAGAGGACCAGUAGUCGGAAGAGUGACGGCGUGAAAGUUACGUGCGGUUGGGGUCGACCAUAGGCGUGGGUGAUGGGGCCUUAUGGAUCGCGCAAGGGGAGAAGAGGUGAGAGGGGAGAAAAAUAGGAGAAGAGAAGAGGGCUAGAGGCAGCUGGUUGGUGGUGGGGAAGAGGAUUUCGGUGGCUAGGGUUAGGUUUUGGGGAAGGGGAUGACGAAUGGUGAGGGGUUUAUAUAGAUUUUGGGGCACACGGCUAUGGGGCACGCCCGUGUGUUUCGUGAUUUUCAAAUUUGGGGCGCAUCUAAAAUUCGACCCACGCCCGUGUUUAUUGGGCGUGUUGGUGCACACAGCCGUGUCGCACGGCCGUGUCCUACUUCGUUCGCUUCUCUCACGCCCAUGUAUGGAUGCACACGCCCAUGUUAAUUUCACAGUCUCGAGCACAGGUGGUGGGCACGGGCGUGUCACACGCCCGUGUUAAUUUCUCAGUAUCAACCACUAGACACGGACGUGUCCCACGCCCGUGUUGUUUUGACAGUUUCGUCCACGGCCAUGUCGUACGGCUGUGGCAACGUGUUGAAUCCCGUGUUAGGGGAAACUUUUGCUCUAUUUUCACACGGCCGUGUCGCACGGUCGUGUCACCACUCGUGGUAUAAGCACGGCCUAAGGCACGCCCGUGUGCCUGGCCGUGUGGUUUCUUGAAAACCUGUGUUCAAUUACUCAGUUAGUGAUUUGAAUGUUAAAAACUAAAAUUUAAAGAAGUUAACAUUGUUAGUGCUGAGUUGCCUCCCUAGGAGUGCUUAUUUAUAGUCUAAGCUCGACUUACCUCUCUGUUGCCUGGUCAUGGUGGUGCGAGGAGUUUACACUCCUCAUUCCUACUAUCAAACUCAAAAUAAGGUUUUAGACAGGUACGAUUUACCUUAAAGGGGCUGAAUUUAGGAUGAAUUACCUCGACGGUCCCAUAUGGAAAAAUGCUGAGUACCUUAAGAGGGAUUGUUCCAUUAGGUUCAGAAGUGGCAAUAUGAAGGUCUGCUGCAUCUAGUAGUACUUUGUCUCCAACCUUAAGUUGAUUUGGUGAAACAUUUAGCUCGUCAUGGCGUGGUUUUGGUCUAUCAUGUGCUCUUGGUUUCUGUGUCCGCCAUUCAUCUAGUUCCUCGAUUUGUAGCCUUUGUUCUUCAUAGAUGGGUCCUUUGUUGAUACUUGAACAAGGCUCAUGUAUGCUUUUCGAACGUGUUUCCUGCAAAGAAGGUUGCACCACAUGAUCAGUAUUAGUAGAAUUUCGAGCUUGAAGAGUGAUUGUUUCAUCACCCAUACGAAGUGUGAGUUCACCUGUACCAACAUCAAUAAUUGUUCUAACAGUUGCUAAAAAGGAUCGUCCUAAAAUCAAAGGUACGUCACUAACCUCUUCCAUGUCUAGAACAACAAAAUCAAUUGGGAAUAUAAAUUUAUCGAUUUUGACAAGUACAUCUUCACUAAUACCCCUAGGAAAUCUAAUGGUUUUAUCGGCUAACUGAAUGCUCAUCCUAGUUUGUUUGGGUUUCCCAAGACCUAGUUGUUUAAACAUUUUAUAGGGCAUGACAUUAAUACUAGCCCCUAAAUUAGCUAAUGCAUUAUUAACAUCUAAGCUACCAAUUAAAUAAGGAAUCAUAAAACUCCCUGGAUCUUUCAAUUUGUUGGCUAGCUUAUUCUGUAGAAUGGUUGAGCAAACUGCAUUCAACUCCACAUGCGACACUUCAUCCAACUUCCGCUUAUUUGCUAAAACCUCCUUUAAAACCUUAACUACAUUUGGCAUCCGCGAAAGAGCUUCAAUAAAUGGUAAGUUAAUAUGUAAUUUCUUUGAUAAUUUAAGAAAUUUACCAAAUUGUUCGUCGUGUGGUCUUUCCUUGUCGCAUUGGGGUAUGGCACACGAGGUUUGUACUCUCUACUUACCGAUUUUUGCUCAUUUUGGUCCGUCUCACCUUUAUCUUUACUUGCCAUAAUUCCUUGCCUCAGUUCUAGUUCAGGUUCAACUAACCCUUCCUCGUCUUGAAUGGUAAUCGCAUUGAGUUGUUCCCUUGGGUUAGAUUCAGUGUUACUCGACAGGCUACUUUAUGGUCAUUCAAAAAUUACUUUAACAAGCUGUCCUAUCUAAGUUUCAAGCCCUUGGAUCGAUGCUUGUUGAUUCUUAAGUGAUGUUUUGGUAUUCUGAAAGCGAGUUUCUGACACCAAGAUAAACUUUGUUAGCAUCUCCUCAAGGUCUGACUUUUUUUCCUACUGGUAAGGUGGUUGUUAAAAACCCAGAAGAUGUUGUGGCCCUUGAUUCCCUUGACUACCCCAUGAGACAUUGGGAUGGUUCCUCCAACCUGCAUUAUAAGUAUUAAUAUAUGGGUUAUUUUGAGGUCUAGAAUUAUUGUUACCCAUAUAUUGAACUUGUUCCUCCUCGGUGUUGGGGUUGAAGGAUUGAUAUUCUGUGUGUACUCCUCCUCCAUUUGAAUCACAUCUCAUCACUGGAUGUACCUGAGUAGAACCAUAUAAACCGUCAAUCUUUUUAUUUAAAAGUUCUACCUGGUUAGAUAGCAUAGUAACCGCGUCGAGGUUGAAAACACCGGCUGCUUUUGUCAGCUUUGUUAUCAUGACUUGCCACUGAUAGUUAUUCAGUGACAUCUCUUCAAUAAAUCUGUAAGCCACUUAAGGUGUUUUGUUAUUGAUAGUCCCACCAGCAGCUGCGUCGAUAAUCUGUCUAGUCGAAGGAUUCAGGCCAUUGUGAAAAGUUUGAACUUGUAGCCAUAGUGGUAAACCAUGGUGAGGGCACCUUCUCAAAAGAUAUUUGUAUCUCUCCCAUGCAUCAUAGAGUGUUUCUAGAUCCAUCUGUAGAAAAGAAGAGAUAUCAUUCCUUAACUUAGUCGUUUUAGCCAGCGAAAAAUAUCUAAGUAAGAAUUUUUCGGUCAUUUGUUCCCAAGUAGUGAUUGACCCUCGUGGUAACGAGUUCAACCACUGUUUAGCUUUGUUCCUCAACAAAAAGGGAAAUAACCGAAGGUGAAUGGCAUCAUCAGAAACGCCAUUGAUUUUAAAAGUGUCGCAGAAUUCCAAAAAUUUUGCCAAAUGAGUGUUUGGGUCCUCAUCCUGCAAACCAUCAAAUUAAACAAACUGUUGUAUCAUUUAAAUCGUGUUAGGUUUCAGUUCAAAAUUAUUUGCAGCAACAGCAGGCCUAACUAUACUUGACUCAGUUCCUAUUAAAGUAGGUUUAGCAUAAUCAUACAUAGUACGUAGAGUAGGAUUCUGAUUUACUAGAUCAGCAGCAAUCGCAGGAGGUAGCGAAUUUUCUUGAUUUUUAGCCAUCUCUUCGGUUGUGAUGAUAAUAUUGUCCUCUUACUCUUUCUCUAUAAAUCUUAGGCUUCGCCUUAUUUCUCUUCGGUUUUUGCGAGCUGUGCAAUCGAUCUCACUGUCAAAAAGAAAUGGUCCCGACAGGUUUCUUCUAGUCAUAAACUAUAAAAACUUGCCAGAAGGAAAAAGAAAAAUUAGUAACAAAAAUCAAAAUAAAAUUUAAAUUGCAAUAAAAUAAAUGGCUAAAGUAAUAAAAAUUAAAUGUUCCUAAUAUCUUAGUUCCCCAAAAAUGGGGCCAAAAACUUGAUUGAUGCAAAUCGUGAUAAGUUUUAUAAUUUAUGAAUGUUCGUUCUUGAAAACUAACUAUUAUCACGAAAAAGGCAAAUGCACCUUAUCGAACAGUAGUAUAGCUUAUGGCAAGACCGGGAUGUCGAACCCAAAGGAACUAAAAGUAGUAGUAUUAACUCUCCUUUUUAUUAUCUAGCCUAAAAAUAAAGGGGUUUGUUUUAUCUAAAUUAAUUAUCUAAACUAAGAAUGCACAAAAAGUAAAUUGGGGAAAUAACUUUUGGGAAAACUGAAUGAUUUGGAAAAUACCCAAGGGAAAAUCCACCAAGACUUCACUUGUUAUUGACUCUGAAUCAAAUGAUUUAUUCACUUGACUUGAUCCGUAGAAAUCUCUAAGUUAUAUUAUUAUCUCUCUCGAGACUAACAACUUCUAACCCUAGGUUGAUUAAUUGAAAUCUCUUUCUAAUUAAAACCCCUAGUGUUGCAUUAACUCGAUCUAUGGAUUCCUUUAUAAGGUUUCACCCUAAUCUGGUAAAAUUAUGUCACCCUAUGUCUAGCCGUGCAAUCAACCCCGCUUAAUUAUGCUAGAUCUACUAUUAAACAGGGACUUUUACUCCUCUGAAUAAGCACAUCAAUACUUGAAUCAAUAUCUUGGAAUAUUAAAGUAAGAAUUAAGAACAAGUCAAAUAUUUAUCAUAUAAUUCAGAAAAUAAUAACAAGAUCCGUCUUAGGUUUCAUUCCCCUUAGGUAUUUAGGGGAUUUAGUUCAUAAGUGUAAAAGAAAACAUCUCUGAAGAAUAAUGAUAACAAAACACAAAGAAAACCCAAAAACUCCUAAAGGAAAUUGAAGGGAGAUUUUUAGUCUUGAAGGAUAAUCUGGCUUCUGAGAUGGAUCAAUCGGCUUUCUUCGAGUAAUUCCUUGCCUCCUACUCUAUGUGUCUUUUCUAGGUACCUCCUGGGGUGUUUAUAUAGGCUUUAGAAUGCUUCAAAACCCUCAAGAGUGACCUUUUUCUGAAUAGAACUAGACUUGGGCUCGAUAGGGACACGCCCGUGUGCAAGUGCUUCAACUCGUGUUUGAGCCUGUUGAAUAGACACGGGCAUGUGGUCUACCCAUGUAAAGAAGCCUAGGCCGUGUUGAUUUCCCAUGUUGGCUCAUUUUCUCCAUUUUUGGCCCGUUUUUCGCUCUUUUUACUCUCUUAUGCUCACUUAAGUAUAAAACAUGAAAUUAAAGGAUUAGCAGCAUCGAAUUCACCAAAUUUAAGGAGAAAUCAUCCAUAAAUGUGCUUAUCAUGGAAUAAAAAUUUGUAUAAAUUACGGUUUAUCACUCAACAUCUUGGAAUUUUCCUAACUUGGAUACUAGUGAGACAUCAGUAUCACCUGUGAUAGAGACUGGGUCUUGAGAUCAUGCUGUUGGGGACGACGCACUGUCCCAAGCCAUGCUAUCGACUUUAGAAAGGGUCACUAGACCCAACACUGGAUCUAGGGGUCGAGGGUCGGUUACAGAAUGAAUCUGGUCCUAUAGGUCUAAAUUAUUCAGAGGUGUCGCUGGAGCCGCCCCUAAAGUGGCCGAGUAUCGAAUGGAGGCUACGGAGAGAAUUAUGGAUGACCUGGAUGUUACUACUGAGCAGAAGCUUAAGGGGGUUGUAUAUCUGCUUCGUGAUGAGGCGUACCAGUGGUGGUUUACGGUUAAGGAGGGCACUCGGCUCGGCCGACUGACAUGGGAUUUCUUUAAGAUGGCCUUCCAGGGUAAAUAUGUAGGGGCCAGUUAUAUUGACGCUUGUAAUAGCCCAUUUUGGGGGUUAAUUGGAACAGUGGUUUCGGGACCAUAAUCCGAAGUUAAAAUAUUUAUGUUAUUAUUUUAAUAAAGUCUACAGUAUGAUAUUAGAGAUGUGUGAAAGUCUCGUAAGGAAAUUUUACUGUUUGAGUGGUUAAUUCGGUAAAAAGGGCCUCAUCGCGUAAAAAGAAAAAGUUGAUAGUUAAAUGUAAUAAUGUUUAAUUAAAUUUGUCUUCAUAAUAUAAUGCAUUUAUAAUGUAACUAGACCAUUAUAAGGGUUAGUGGAAUUCAUGGCUUGGCAAAUUGGUAAAUAGAAUAAGUUUUAAAAGUUGGUUAGGUAAAUUGAAUAAUAAUAGAUUAAAUAAAUAAAAAAAAUACAAAAGUAUGCUCAUAUUGCUUCAUUAUUGCAGAAUAUGCAAAGAAAGAAUAGGAGAAAAGAGUUUUAAGGGUUCGGCAUAUUUGGGGAAUGAUUUAGGUAAGUUUUAAGCUCGUUUUUCGAUAAUUUUUACGUCUUUGAGAUCGUUGCUUCGUGUUUUACAAAACUCAUGCUUAAAUUUUAGAAUUUGAUGAUGAUUUCAUGAGAUGCCAUUGCUCAUUUUGUGAGCAUUGUGAUGAUAAAUGGUGAAAUGUGAAAGCUUGAUGAUAGAUAAAUAUAUUUUGUAUUGGGAUUUUUGAUGAAUUUGAAUAGUUUGGGCUAAUUUAUGAAAAUGAUAAAUUGAGGGACUAAAAUGUGAAAUAAAUUGUAUAUAUAAGCUUAUAAGGACUAGAGGAAAUUCGGCCAAGCAUGAGUGUGGUCAAAUUUUGAAUAUUUUGUGUUUUGUGAAAUAGGGACUAAAUUGUGAAAAAUGUGAAAUGUCAGGGGCAAAAGUACAAUUAGUCCAUUUAUGUGUUUUUAGAUUAAUUUGAUUGAGUAUAUGAUUAAAUAAGUUGAAUUUGCAUUGAAUUAGAUCAAGAAAUGAGAAAAUCGAAUUUGGAUGGGGGAAAGUCGAAAAUAAUCGAAUAGUCGUUUCGGUCCGUUCGUAUCCGUAUAAGGUAAGUUCAUAAGUAAUUGUCGAAACCAUUUUUUUGAAAAAAAACAGGAUAUCAACUUUGUUUGAAAACGAAAAUUAAAACGGGAGUCGCCACCGAUCUUUAUUGGGUGUGAUCAGAUCACCCUUGUUUUAAUAAAACAUUUUAGUUUACUAAAACGACAUUUUGGUCUACGAAAUUUGAGAAAACGGGUUCGGGAGUCGGUUACGUACGAGGAAGGAUUAGCACCCUCAUAGUGCCCAAAAUUGGUACCUAAUUGAUUAAUUAAUGUCUUAAUGUCGAAGUUUGAAAAGAUUUCAGAGUACAAUCCUUUUAUUUGAAAGAAAAUCGGGAUUAUUUGAAUAAAAUGUAAAGAUCGACUCAUUUCAAAGGAGAGAAUGCCAUACCCGGUAAGUUAGGGUCCAACAUUUCAGACCUUUGGGACUAAGUUGGUCUUUGAUUUUUAAAAUUCAUGUAUGAAGGCUCGAGAGAAUGAUAUUCGGUCCUCCAGGACUCAUGAAAGAUUAGAACUCAGUAAGUUAGAGCUCAAUCUCUCAGAUCUCCCAAAUACCGAAGGUUGCCUUGAUUUUGGAAAUCACUACCCUCAAUAUAACGUGAUGCCACACCCAGUAAGUUAGGGUGCAACAUCCUGAAUUUCAAGAAUAGGUUUUUAUUUGAACCUCAUACAAUUAUAUUUAAGAAGGGUACUCAAUUAUUUAGGUUCAACGACGAAAAUUAGUACUCAGUAAGUUAGGGCACAAUCUUCCCGAGGACCCCAGAUAUCGAAUAUUGCCUUUGUUUUGAAAACAAUCGAGGAUAAAUCUUUGAAUAAAAUGAAUUUGGGGCGGUUGAAACUCAACAAAAAAAAUGAUGACAUGCAAUAUGAAAAUAGCAGUAUAAUAGUAAACUUGACAGUGUAUAAAUUAAUACCUAGAAUAUAGUAAAUAUAAGGAAAAUCAACAAUAAUCAUAACAAUAGUAAUAAAUAUAAUAACAUAACAAACAUAGCGAUAAAGAUAUUAACAAUACGAAAAUGCAUAAUAGAAGUGAAAAUAAUAUGUCGAAUGAUGAUGUAUAUAUAUAGUGAUAAUAGUAAAGUUAAAAUAACAAUGCUAAAUUAGUGAAAGUGAAAAAUAAUAAAUAAUAAUAUAGUAUAAAAAAUAUUCGAUGAAAAAAAAACUAUGGUAUAUAAAAAUAAUAGAGUAGGUCUAUUAAUAAUUAUAAAAAACUUUAGCGAAAAAUAUAUAUAAAAAUUUCUGGGGUAAUUUGAAAGCAUUUAAAGAAAACAAAAAAGGACUUGAUUGAACGUAGGCACACAGGACAGGGACUAAUCACGAAAAUUUCCCAUUUAAAAGAAAUGUGCACAUUUCCAUCCCUUGAAUGCACGGUCAGCUUUUCCCCUUCCCCAGGCUCUACUUUUGAGGAGAAAAAAACAAAUGAAGCCUACUUUUUUAUUUUUUUUAUUUUUAAAACAUUGAACACCCUUUUUUUUAAAACAAAAAAAAAACAUUUACCCAUCAUCUCUCUUAUUUUCCUUAAAGAAAAACAGAGAGAAACCUCUCAAAUUUUCUCUCAGGCCUGCGCCACCCUCAUCGGAGGUCCGGUGAGCAAAGGUCGCGAGUUCGUCAGUAAGUCCCCUCUCUCCCUCUCUUGUUUUUUUUAAAAAAAACGUUUUUUAAAAAAAAUUAAAAGGGAACAGAACAAAUGAAAUCCAAAUCAAGAGAAAAUUCCAAAAAAAAUAAAAAAAUCACCUUCCAAAACUUAGUUCUGAUUCUUGAUUUACUCUUCCACUUUGUAUUAUCUCCGAAGAAAAAAUAUAUAUCCCCCCAAAAAUACAACCGAUUCUUCCCUUUGAAAUCUCCAAAAAAAUCCCCCUGUAUUACAUUCAGAUCUGGCCUUUAUAGCCAUUUCAAUACAACAUUUUUUUAAAUUUCUUACCAUUGCUUCCUGUCGUCUGCCUCUGUCUUAGUGUUGGCUUUCUUUUUUGUCUUAUUCUGCAGGUGAUGGAAAUCAACAGGUGGGUGCACAUGGAGGAGUUGGUGGGAGUGUCAGACGCGUGGGGCGUGGUGGCCAAGGCUGAGGGGCAUGGUGGCCGACAUGGUGGCAUGGAGAGCUAGGGUGCUAAGGGUUUGCUGUUGAAAAACCUUAAGCAAGUGGCCUGUUAUUUGGGCUAGGGUUUGAUGUAAAUUGGGCUGUUUAAUAUUGUAAAUAGGCUAAUUAUUUUGGACUCUUUUUUAUUGUUUUGGGUUUUGUUAUUUUUUAUUUGUCUGGGCCCGGGCAAUUUUCUGAUAUACAUAAAGUAAAUAGAAAAAGAUUCGAAGUGGAUUUCUCGACCCGUGAAAUGAAAAAAUAGCCUCUGGAGUUUUUUUGUUUUAUAUUCAUCUGAAGGAAAUAUGAGAAAGAAAACAAUAACAAUAAAUAAAAGAAAUAAAAUGAAGGAAAUAUAUCAGACUAUAGUAAUUUAAUACACAUAGAAAUUAGAAAAAUACAUAAAAAUAUUGAUUUUUAUCAAUUUCACGAACAAGAUCCAAGAAUAAGAUUAUUUGAUGGAGGGGGAGGG
rnacentral:lncRNA from 1 species